rnacentral:rRNA from 1 species
CCUACGGGAGGCAGCAGUAGGGAAUCUUUCACAAUGGGCGAAAGCCUGAUGGAGCAACGCCGCGUGCCGGAUGAAGGCCUUCGGGUUGUAAACUGCUUUUAUAAGCGAGCAAUAUGAUGGUAACUUAUGAAUAAGGAUCGGCUAACUACGUGCCCGCAGCCGCGGUCAUACGUAGGAUCCGAGCAUUAUCCGGAGUGACUGAGUGUAAAGAGUUGCGUAGGUGGCAUAAUAAGUAGCUAGUGAAAUCUGGUGGCUCAACCAUUAAGACUAUUAGCUAAACUGUUAAGCUCGAGACCGUAGGGGUAACUGGAAUUUCUAGUGUAGGAGUGAAAUGCGUAGAUAUUAGAAGGAACACCAAUAGCGUAGGCAGGUUACUGGGACGGUUCUGACACUAAGGCACGAAAGCGUAGGGAGCAAACGGGAUUAGAUACCCGAGUAGUC